UAUACUGCGAUUGCUGCUUUUCAAAAAUACGACAAUAGGGGGCACGCACAAAGACCAAUAAAAGCAAAAACAACGAAACGAUUCAAAAUAAAAUAGAAAUGCAAGUGAGCUAAAGCCAAAUAGGGCGAUAUCAAACAAACAAAAUUAGUGGAAAGUUCUAAUUUUUGGCAGAAGGCAAAUUAAUGCUCUGUCGUGAAGAAGAAAUUAAAACACAUUUGGUUUUGUUUUUUAAUUUUUAUUAAAUAUUGAGUUUGUUUUUAUUGGUAACUUGUAUUGUGGUGCGUGAACAAGAUUUGAAAUUAAUGAUAUCUUAGCAUAAGAGUUUAAAGAGAAAAUAAAAUCUAAAAAAAAACAGGAAAAAAAGCGAUAUGUCAGCAUGACUGACUAAUCACAAAACUUGAAGCCCAGUAGGAAGGACGUUAAGGUCUCAUACGCUGUGGAGUGUUUAACUGUCAAAUUAUUUCGCAUUCUGAGAGUAAUAGAGCGGGAGCAAAACCAUUUGCAGCUUCCGUGGUCAUUGAGCCGAUGAACAUUCAUAACAAUUCAGCGUGGACGUAGUUGCAAAACUCAUCUGCAGCGACAAAACUUCCAAGGCACUGGGCCCCACAAAAUUUUCUAAAGUGAUGCUGGCAAUUCUUUCGAGUACCUAACACAGAGCCUUCAAUAUGUGUGUGAAUACUCCUAUAGUUUGCGAGGUUUGGAAAAGGGCAACGAACCAUCUACUAAAGCCAAAGACAGAAUUGUACAAAUCAAUCUCUAAUUAGAUAGGUGGCUUGAGACACUACUCCUCGCGAGUGUUUAUGAAUUUCCAAUUGCUAAGAAUCAGCAUCUAUAUUGCAAAUCACCAUGCCACAUCAUCGCAACAGCAGAUAAACAUGUAUCACCAAACACUGAUUGCAAUCACUGAGCACAAAGGACGGAGAUAGGUUUCAGCCAAAGCUAAUCAGAGUGAAACAGGGUAUCCCCCAAUGUGGAGUAAAAUCCCCGACAAAGUUUAGCCUUUCACCAACAAAUCCUCAGUCACACUAUUUACUGCGGUGGCCUUUCGAUUACAACCCAGCUAUUCCAUUAUACUUAGUGUCACAUUUGACAUCCUCUGCACAGUCCUCAGCACAAGCCAGAAGUAGACACAAUGUCCUCGAUUAGCUUACCAACAGCAUUUAAGUUGCAAACAAAGAAACCUGUUUGACUGCCCGUAAGACGUUCACUGUAAACUAUGCGGCGGCGAAUCUAGAUGAAGCAUCGUAUCAGUCAGAUCUAUACAUCAUUCAUGACGAUACGACAAGAACAAAUAGUUAACUAGUAAAUGCCGGUCUUGAAGACCAUGCGCCGUCUAUAGCAUGUGAUGAAUUUAGCCUUCGUCGACAAGCCUGUAUAGUUAAGGCUCUACUCCGUUAUGACAGACGAAGCCGCUUUCAUUCCUAUUGAGCCGUUUCUAAACAAAUGAUUCUGAUUCUGUAACUUGAAACUUUGGAGGGCCUAGUUUUUAUCCGUUAUGACUUUUAACAUGCAUGUCAAGCAUAGUACGAAUCGAUGCAUAACCAGAUAAAGCUUCCAUAGAAAGCAAUCUUCCAAUUUGACUUAUGUGCCUGUAUAGCUCAAUAAAUAUUCGAUCUUACACAUA
rnacentral:sRNA from 1 species